rnacentral:rRNA from 1 species
GACGAACGCUGGCGGCGUGCUUAACACAUGCAAGUCGAACGGAAAGGCCCUGCUUUUGUGGGGGGCUCGAGUGGCGAACGGGUGAGUAACACGUGAGUAACCUGCCCUUGACUUUGGGAUAACUUCAGGAAACUGGGGCUAAUACCGGAUAGGAGCUCCUGCUGCAUGGUGGGGGUUGGAAAGUUUCGGCGGUUGGGGAUGGACUCGCGGCUUAUCAGCUUGUUGGUGGGGUAGUGGCUUACCAAGGCUUUGACGGGUAGCCGGCCUGAGAGGGUGACCGGCGACAUUGGGACUGAGAUACGGCCCAGACUCCUACGGGAGGCAGCAGUGGGGAAUAUUGCACAAUGGGCGGAAGCCUGAUGCAGCAGCGCCGCGUGCGGGAUGACGGCCUUCGGGUUGUAAACCGCUUUCGCCUGUGACGAAGCGUGAGUGACGGUAAUGGGUAAAGAAGCACCGGCUAACUACGUG